GAAGCGAGAGAACGUUGCGCCAGCAACGGCCCGCAGGGCGAGCCACGAAGUGGCGAGUAAUCCUCUAUCACCGACCA
rnacentral:ncRNA from 2 species